rnacentral:rRNA from 1 species
UACGGGAGGCAGCAGUGGGGAAUAUUGCACAAUGGGCGCAAGCCUGAUGCAGCCAUGCCGCGUGUAUGAAGAAGGCCUUCGGGUUGUAAAGUACUUUUCAGUCGUGAGGAAGGUGUUAAGGUUAAUAACCUUAGCAAUUGACGUUAGCGACAGAAGAAGCACCGGCUAACUCCGUGCCAGCAGCCGCGGUAAUACGGAGGGUGCGAGCGUUAAUCGGAAUUACUGGGCGUAAAGGGCACGCAGGCGGUUAAUUAAGUUGGAUGUGAAAUCCCCGGGCUUAACCUGGGAAUGGCAUUCAAGACUGGUUAGCUAGAGUCUUGUAGAGGGGGUAGAAUUCCAUGUGUAGCGGUGAAAUGCGUAGAGAUGUGGAGGAAUACCGGUGGCGAAGGCGGCCCCUGGACAAAGCUGACGCUCA